rnacentral:lncRNA from 1 species
AGGGAAGAGGAGUGGAGCCCUGUUUGCUGCCAUUUACCAGACCAGCUCCUGUAAUCUGGAGCAGAAAGCCCGUACAUUCUGCUGUAUUUUGCAGGAUGAUUGGGAAGGAAGGAGGGAAGGCAGCUAAGUAUUCAAGGAAAAGUAUUGUAGGUGGAUCUUUCUGGAUAAUGAGAAGAUCUUGAGUUGAACAUAAAGUCUACACUCAGAGUACAAUUUUCUUUGGGCUCUAUAAAAAAGCCCUAAGGUGAUACUUGCUACCAGAUCCUGUCCUCCUGUCUGAAGCCCUGACCUCUCUGGAAUCUGAUACACUCUGCCAACUAAAGUGCCCGGACCAGCUUCAUUUACCUUCCAGUGAAAUGCAGUGGAUGGGGAAAUAACAAGAGGUCCUCUGAUGAAUGUUGCCGAUCGCCAUGGUUACGGUUCCGAGAUGCAGCAAAGAGCAAUUAUGGUGGUAGAGAAGAAGGAAAUGCACCUCUUUGUCAGAAUUUCAUAGCAGCUGUAACAACACGAGAGCACCCAAAUGAAUGCAGAAUAACUGAAAUAUUGUGACAUGUUAAAUGCCAGCACAUUAAAAAAUUGUAUUUCAAUGUCACA